GGUCGGGUAGCUCAGUUGGUAGAGCAUCGGAUUGAAAAUCCGAGUGUCGGCGGUUCGAGCCCGCCCCCGACCACUA
rnacentral:tRNA from 1 species